rnacentral:misc_RNA from 1 species
AACGCAUAUGGCACCCGAGACUUCGGUCGAGGGUAUGUCUGUCUCAGAGUCGGCGUAAAAACAUCCCCAAGGAAAGACCUCGCGUCUUCUCCGAUGGGGGAGCUGGCCCUCCCGGCGCUUCGCCGGGUUGGCUGAAGGUCAGAGACGGGGGACCGCACGUGUCGGACAGCCACGAUUUUGGUGGGAGGACCUCGCGUCCGCAUCAUCGAUCGGGCGUCUAGCUCCGCGAGGAGAAGCGUGUCGGUCGUCAGGACCCCGCUACUGCAGGAACUUUUAUCAUCGUUCCGACCUGAGAUCAGGCAAGAUCACCCGCUGAACUUAA